rnacentral:rRNA from 1 species
GACGUAGGAGGCGAGCGUUGUCCGGAUUUAUUGGGCGUAAAGAGCGUGUAGGCGGCUUUACAGGUCCGUUGUGAAAACUCGAGGCUCAACCUCGAGACGCCGGUGGAAACCGUAAAGCUAGAGUCCGGAAGAGGAGAGUGGAAUUCCUGGUGUAGCGGUGAAAUGCGCAGAUAUCAGGAAGAACACCCGUGGCGAAGGCGGCUCUCUGGGACGGUACUGACGCUGAGACGCGAAAGCGUGGGGAGCGAACAGG